ACAUAAUUGCAACUAUUAAACUUUAAUAACCCUACAACUAUAAUCAUUUUUGUAAAUUGCUCGUUCUUUUAUAGUUCACUUUUUUCGGUUACUAACUCAUCGGAGUUCCGUCGGAAUCCGGCGAAUCAACCCCAAAACCCCGAAAUCUCCGUUCAUUUUGCUUCUUUUUCUAGCAAAUCAGUGACUCAUGCAAACACCUGGCCACCCAAACCCCUUUCACCCACUUUUUUAAUCAAAUAACUCAGUCACACCACCGGCCACACCAACAGAACCUCGCCAGAAAUAAUCAAAAUCAGUUCCUAUUCUUCCCAUUUUCAAAUUUAAAUCACCCGAUCCUCCAUUUCUCUGACCAACAACAACGAUCUCCAAACAGUGAGAAAUCUACCUCCAAAACCCUUAUUUUUUUCAUCAUUGUUUUCAACAACAAAUGAAAUUGUGCCGCCAAUCCGUUUUCCCUCUUCCCCUUCACAAUUUUUUUUGUUUCAGGCGUUUUUGCUCAAAAUCGAUGAGCUUCAGUAGUUCAAAGCUCACAACGUUCUGCUUUUAUCUUUUCCGGUGAAAUCCAGUGAACUCCAUGCCGAAAUUCCAACCAGAUUCAACUCUUAAAUCAGCAAGCUUUGAAGCUCAACAACAGAACAACCACCAACAACCAAAUCUAGCCGCAAAAUACAUUAUUCAGGUACCAAAAGGUGCUUCCCAUUGAAGCUAUUCAGAUUAAGUUCGAAUUAUAUGUUUAUUCAUUAUUUUGUAUAUAUCGAUGUUAGGCAAACCUUAUGCGUUUCUUAUAUUAUUUGUUUAAUUUUAUUCUUUGUGUA